AGAGUUUGAUCAUGGCUCAGAUUGAACGCUGGCGGCAGGCUUAACACAUGCAAGUCGAACGGUAACAGAACUAGCUUGCUAGUUGCUGACGAGUGGCGGACGGGUGAGUAACGCGUAGGAAUCUACCGAAUAGUNGGGGACAACAGUUGGAAACGGCUGCUAAUACCGCAUACGCCCUACGGGGGAAAGGAGGGGAUCUUCGGACCUCUCGCUAUUUGAUGAGCCUGCGUGAGAUUAGUUAGUUGGUGGGGUAAUGGCUCACCAAGGCGACGAUCUCUAGCUGGUCUGAGAGGAUGAUCAGCCACACUGGGACUGAGACACGGCCCAGACUCCUACGGNAGCCACCAGUGGGGAAUAUUGCACAAUGGGGGAAACCCUGAUGCAGCCAUGCCGCGUGUGUGAAGAAGGCCUUCGGGUUGUAAAGCACUUUCAGU
rnacentral:rRNA from 1 species